UCACUUCUUCUGGCUGCCGCUUCCUGUUUCCUGUUUUCUUUCGCCAGUCAGUGAGUUGACUCUCUAGCCACAUAAACUUUCUUGUAGCUUUGCUUUGGGAAGGAGGGAGCGUAGACAAAACAAUUCUUCUCUCAAGAACGGCAGACAACAGCGUGAAAAGAUGAGUUGAACCACCAAAAAAGAGCUUCCCUCCAUGUGAUGAGGAGGGGGAGAAGCUGUGACAGAAUGGAGCAUGGGGUAAUGCAUCCCCACGCCACCUUCACGACUGCUGGCAGGAUGAAGUGAUCUAGGACACCUUUGCCAGCAUAUGUGACAAGGCUACUAGAACACGCCCCCUUAAGGCAAACCUAACCUAAGAUGGCAUCUCCCUGUCUCCCUUUCUGAAAAUGGAUGCCGUGUCUUCGCCAGGCCCACUUCCUUAGGCUUUUGCCAGCUAGCUAAGGUAAGGGAUUCAUUACA